rnacentral:rRNA from 1 species
UACGUAGGGGUCUAGCGUUGUCCGGAAUCAUUGGGCGUAAAGAGCUCGUAGGCGGUUCGGCAAGUCGGAUGUGAAAUCUCCACGCUCAACGUGGAGGGGCCAUUCGAAACUGCCGUGACUCGAGUCCGGUAGGGGAGUGCGGAAUUCCCGGUGUAGCGGUGAAAUGCGCAGAUAUCGGGAGGAACACCAGUGGCGAAGGCGGCACUCUGGGCCGGAACUGAC